rnacentral:rRNA from 1 species
AUUGAACGCUGGCGGCAGGCCUAACACAUGCAAGUCGAGCGGAUGAAGGGAGCUUGCUCCUGGAUUCAGCGGCGGACGGGUGAGUAAUGCCUAGGAAUCUGCCUGGUAGUGGGGGAUAACGUCCGGAAACGGGCGCUAAUACCGCAUACGUCCUGAGGGAGAAAGUGGGGGAGCUUCGGACCUCACGCUAUCAGAUGAGCCUAGGUCGGAUUAGCUAGGUGGUGGGGUAAAGGCCUACCAAGGCGACGAUCCGUAACUGGUCUGAGAGGAUGAUCAGUCACACUGGAACUUAGACACGGUCACGACUCCUGCGGGAGGCAGCAGUGGGGAAUAUUGGACAAUGGGCGAAAACCUGAUCCAGCCAUGCCGCGUGUGUGAAGAAGGUCUUCGGAUUGUAAAGCACUUUAAGUUGGGAGGAAGGGCAGUAAGUUAAUACCUUGCUGUUUUGACGUUACCAACAGAAUAAGCACCGGCUAACUUCGUG